rnacentral:lncRNA from 1 species
CCAACUUCAAGCACAUUGUGACAAAAUCCUUGAACAUCAUCAUCAUCAUCAUCACCAUCUUUGUCAUGGCUGGUUUAGAAGGUGCCACCUCACCUGCAACCCCUUGGGCCUCACCGUUGCAUUCCAUCCCAGCUUGCCAUCCAAACGCAAAUCUGCACCUCUUCGGUUGAGGAUUUCUCUAGCCUUUCUCCUCACCUGCCUACCACACUAGAUAUCAAAAAGGAUGAUGUAUUCAUUGUUGAAAGUGGGUUUCCGAAGUCCUCUACUCUGACAGUACUGUUGACAUUAAAGUUCUCAGGGGCGAGGCUGCCAGGCUUCCAGUCGGAGAAGACCACAAGGGACCAGGCUGGCACCUGCCCUGCAACUGACACAGUCUCUACCUUUCUCCCUUACUGCUAGAUGUUUCCAGAUGGCUCAGCCAUACUGAUCUUUCUCACUACUCUUUCCAUGCAGUUAUUCUUCAUAUUUUACUAAAGUUAGGGAUUGUGAUACCUGCUGCCAUGUCUCUGCCACCUA